UGGCUCAGUGGUAGAGUGCUUGCCUCACAUGCAUGAGGCCCUGGGUUCGAUUCCUCAG
rfam:Dipodomys ordii contig_45677, whole genome shotgun sequence.